CAGAAAAUAGUUUAAUUAGAAUAUUAGCUUUGGGAGUUGAUGGCGGAGGUGAAAUUCCCCCUUUUCUGA
rnacentral:tRNA from 2 species